AGAGUUUGAUCCUGGCUCAGGGCGAACGCUGGCGGCAGGCUUAACACAUGCAAGUCGAGCGGACCUUUCGGGGUCAGCGGCGGACGGGUGAGUAACGCGUGGGAACGUGCCUUCCGGUUCGGAAUAACCCUGGGAAACUAGGGCUAAUACCGGAUACGCCCUUUUGGGGAAAGGUUUACUGCCGGAAGAUCGGCCCGCGUCUGAUUAGCUAGUUGGUGGGGUAACGGCCUACCAAGGCGACGAUCAGUAGCUGGUCUGAGAGGAUGAUCAGCCACACUGGGACUGAGACACGGCCCAGACUCCUACGGGAGGCAGCAGUGGGGAAUAUUGGACAAUGGGCGCAAGCCUGAUCCAGCCAUGCCGCGUGAGUGAUGAAGGCCUUAGGGUUGUAAAGCUCUUUUAUCCGGGACGAUAAUGACGGUACCGGAGGAAUAAGCCCCGGCUAACUUCGUGCCAGCAGCCGCGGUAAUA
rnacentral:rRNA from 1 species